AGCAAGCAUGAUUUACUUAAGCUUGUCAGGAGAGCAAAAUCUCAAGGCAAAUGUGGAGUAAUAAAUUGUAAUACAUGCUGCAUAUGUUUGACUCGUGACCCCUGGCAUUUGGAGGGAACUCUCAGCUCACGAAUUCCACUGACAAGAAAUGGCAAGAGAGAGGAAAUGUACAGUAUGAAGCGAAAAGAGGAUAACAGGCUGAAUGAGGGAUAGAGAAAAAGAAAGAGACCGAGGGCUGUAUUCAGAGGUGGUGACCAAAAGUCCAAAAGUUAUAAAGAUGUUUAUCUGGAUGAGAGCUGGAGCUGGUGUAGAGAGCACACAUAACACUGAGGUUAUGAUUUAAUCACUGGACAAGGAUCAGAGCAGAUGUUUGGAGAGGAGAGGGUCGUGGCGUAUGCUAACGGGGUUUUGAGGAGAAUGAGGAUGACACUCUGGACUGAUGGCUAGGGCGUGGGUUGCCAGUGUGAGUGUGAUCCACCCUACAGCGCAGCUCCAGCGGCCGCCCUGGACCCCUGCUAUCCGGGUCCCCAUAAAAAUAGCCCAUUCCAUUACUCUUCUCCUCCCCAGAGGCAGCAAGGUCUCCAGCAUCAUUACCGGGACUAAAGAUGUGACUCGGGCUGUUCACGCCAGCCUGGCCGCCCCUCCCCAAAGCCAUCCCGCUAAUUAUAGGUCAAGCACUCUUUGUUAAAUUAUAAAACCCUUGUUCUUAUUCUAAAUGAAAAAAUAUGAUACAAUAGGAAGAGAGGAGAGAAAAGGGGCACAGAAAAAAUAUGUAUAUUUUAAAAAUUGGGAAUGGGAAAAAAAAAAUUUCAAUUAUAAACCUCGGCUAAUUUGGUAUGACCAGCGAGUGUCAUGCAUGCUGACAGUGCUCCAUUAUGCAGUCAUUUGGGCUCUUUCAAAUUAGUUAUGUUAAUGUCCUGCGCAGGAAUGUAACACUUGGAUGGGACAAGAUUCCAGCAAUUAAUUUCUACAGUCAGCCAAGAGACAAGCAAAUUUAUUUUCCGCCCUCUCGGGAAAUCGGUGGCGGCGGGCGUGAGGGUGGGGGAGAGCACAUCAGGGUGCGGCGAACAAGCACAACACUGCGCCUAAAUAAAGCCCAAACAAUGGGCGCCAAUGCCUCCUCAUUCAUUCCAUUGACAAUGUUUUGCAGCUUAAACCUGUUUUAUUAAUUAUGUUUGACAUUUCCUUAAUUAGUUUCAUUUACACCAAAUCAAUCCCUGCCGCCACCCAGCCUCAUUUAUCAUUUUAAAAAAUUUGCAUAGCCUGUGCUGACUUUUUCUACUUAAUUAUACAUUAAAAGUGUCAAGCGCGCUUGCUGCCUGGCAUUAUCUGCCGAAAGGGCCGGGGCUGGGCGGUGCUGGCAUUAAUCACGGCCAGCCCGCGAGUGUUUGCUGGACGCUGGCUGGGAGGAAAGACGAAAGCCUGAGCUCGAGUUCGAGAACCUGCAUACGACAGGGUCAACAACACACCCAUGAAGAAAUGAAUCGGUGAUCUCUAUCCGAAAAACAAUCAAGAGAACUAGACACAAUGUAUUACACAUUAAAAACAUGGAAUAGUCUCCCAAAAAACCAACAUGGUUAAUAAUCUAGUAAUAAGGGAUUAGUGUUAAUUAAUAACAAAAACCAUGAGUAUCUUAAUUAACAUCAAGUGUGAGUAAUAAGCAGAGGAAAUAAUUGCAUAAUUUUCAUCAACUUAUCCUAUACGAAAGUCUGUCUUGUUUUAUUUGAUUACUACACUGUAAAAUGGUACUUGCUUUAUAUAUGGAACCUCAUAUAUGGUACUUUAUGUAGAAUGGCUCUUUUUUAAAACC